rnacentral:rRNA from 1 species
CGCAAGUCUGACGGAGCAACGCCGCGUGAGUGAUGAAGGUCUUCGGAUCGUAAAGCUCUGUNGCCAGGGAAGAACGCCAAGGNGAGUAACUGCUCUUUGGNUGACGGUACCUGANAAGAAAGCCCCGGNUAACUACGUGCCAGCAGCCGCGGUAAUACGUAGGGGGCAAGCGUUGUCCGGAAUUAUUGGGCGUAAAGCGCGCGCAGGCGGUUUUUUAAGUCUGGUGUUNAAUCCCGAGGCUCAACCUCGGUUCNCACCGGAAACUGGGANACUGGAGUGCAGGAGAGGAAANUGGAAUUCCACGUGUAUCGGUGAAAUGCGUAGAGAUNUGGAGGAACACCAGUGGCGAAGGCGACUUUCUGGCCUGUAACUGACGCUGAGGCGCGAAAGCGUGGGGAGCAAACAGGAUUANAUACCCUGGUAGUCCACGCCGUAAACGAUGCAUGUNCUAGGUUGUUAGGGNUUUCGAUACCCUUGGUGCCGAA